GGGUUGUUAAUCCAACGGUAGAGUAAUCGGCUCCCAACCGACGAGUUCUGGAUGAGUUCGAGCCCCGGCC
rnacentral:tRNA from 2 species